CAGUGUCUCUACCACCCUGAACGCGUCUGAUCUCGGAAGCUAAGCAGGGUCGGGCCUGGUUAGUACUUGGAUGGGACACACU
rnacentral:rRNA from 1 species